rnacentral:rRNA from 1 species
UAGGAGUUUUGAGUACCUUGGGACGUCUAGGAUCGGAAGCUGGACGGCGUGCCUAAUACAUGCAAGUCGAGCGAACCACUUCGGUGGGAAGCGGCGAACGGGUGAGUAACACGUAGGUGAUCUGCCCAUCAGACGGGGACAACGAUUGGAAACGAUCGCUAAUACCGGAUAGGACGAAAGUUUAAAGAUGCUCCUGGCAUCACUGAUGGAUGAGCCUGCGGCGCAUUAGCUAGUUGGUGGGGUAAAGGCCUACCAAGGCGACGAUGCGUAGCCGACCUGAGAGGGUGAACGGCCACACUGGGACUGAGACACGGCCCAGACUCCUACGGGAGGCAGCAGUAGGGGAUCUUCGGCAAUGGGCGAAAGCCUGACCGAGCAACGCCGCGUGAAUGAAGAAGGCCUUCGGGUUGUAAAAUUCUGUUAUAAGGGAAGAAAGGUGAUAGGAGGAAAUGACUAUCAAUUGACGGUACCUUAUGAGAAAGCCGCGGCUAACUACGUG